CAGCCCCGCGGGAAAACGUAGGGUCCGAGCGUUGUCCGGAAUUAUUGGGCGUAAAGCGUGCGCAGGCGGUUUUGUAAGACAGGCGUGAAAUCCCCGGGCUCAACCUGGGAAUGGCGCUUGUGACUGCAAAGCUAGAGUGCGGCAGAGGGGGAUGGAAUUCCGCGUGUAGCAGUGAAAUGCGUAGAUAUGCGGAGGAACACCGAUGGCGAAGGCAAUCCCCUGGGCCUGCACUGACGCUCAUGCACGAAAGCGUGAGGAGCAAACAGGAUUAGAUACCCCAGUAGUCCCUGUCUCUUAUACC
rnacentral:rRNA from 1 species